rnacentral:misc_RNA from 1 species
AAGUCGUAACAAGGUUUCCGUAGGUGAACCUGCGGAAGGAUCAUUAUUGAAAUAAAUCUGAUGAGUUGCUGCUGGCUUUCUAGGGAGCAUGUGCACACUUGUCAUCUUUAUAUCUCCACCUGUGCACCUUUUGUAGAUCUGGAUAUCUCUCUGAAUGCCUAGUAAUUCAGGUUUGAGGAUUGACUUUAUUUUGUCUGUCCUUACAUUUCCAGGCCUACGUUUCUUCAUAUACUCCGAUGUAUGUCUUAGAAUGUAAUAAUGGGCUUUUGUGCCUAUAAAUCUAUACAA